AUGCACGCUGGCGGCGUGCCUAAUACAUGCCCGUCGAGCGAACAGACGAGGAGCUUGCUCCUCUGACGUUAGCGGCGGACGGGUGAGUAACACGUGGAUAACCUACCUAUAAGACUGGGAUAACUUCGGGAAACCGGAGCUAAUACCGGAUAAUAUAUUGAACCGCAUGGUUCAAUAGUGAAAGACGGUUUUGCUGUCACUUAUAGAUGGAUCCGCGCCGCAUUAGCUAGUUGGUAAGGUAACGGCUUACCAAGGCAACGAUGCGUAGCCGACCUGAGAGGGUGAUCGGCCACACUGGAACUGAGACACGGUCCAGACUCCUACGGGAGGCAGCAGUAGGGAAUCUUCCGCAAUGGGCGAAAGCCUGACGGAGCAACGCCGCGUGAGUGAUGAAGGUCUUCGGAUCGUAAAACUCUGUUAUUAGGGAAGAACAAAUGUGUAAGUAACUAUGCACGUCUUGACGGUACCUAAUCAGAAAGCCACGACUAACUACGUG
rnacentral:rRNA from 1 species